UCCGUAGGCGGGCAGCUCAGUCAGUGGUGAGAGUUUGCAGCUCAACUGUAAAAUUGCCAUUGAUACUGGUUGUCUUGAAUUAAUGUGAAGUGGUUAGAAUAUGUAGUGUAGCGGUGAAAUGCAUAGAUAUUACAUGGAAUACCAAUUGCGAAGGCAGAUCACUAACAUUAUAUUGACGCUGAUGGACGAAAGCGUGGGGAGCGAACAGGAUUAGAUACCCUGGUAGUCC
rnacentral:rRNA from 1 species